rnacentral:rRNA from 1 species
GACGAACGCUGGCGGCGCGCCUAACACAUGCAAGUCGAACGAUCGAGAGAGAGCUUGCUUUCUCGAGCGAGUGGCGAACGGGUGAGUAACGCGUGAGGAACCUGCCUCAAAGAGGGGGACAACAGUUGGAAACGACUGCUAAUACCGCAUAAGCCCACGGGUCGGCAUCGACCAGAGGGAAAAGGAGCAAUCCGCUUUGAGAUGGCCUCGCGUCCGAUUAGCUAGUUGGUGAGGUAAUGGCCCACCAAGGCGACGAUCGGUAGCCGGACUGAGAGGUUGAACGGCCACAUUGGGACUGAGACACGGCCCAGACUCCUACGGGAGGCAGCAGUGGGGAAUAUUGCACAAUGGGGGAAACCCUGAUGCAGCGACGCCGCGUGGAGGAAGAAGGUCUUCGGAUUGUAAACUCCUGUUGUUGGGGAAGAUAAUGACGGUACCCAACAAGGAAGUGACGGCUAACUACGUG